rnacentral:misc_RNA from 1 species
GAUGAAGAACGUAGCGAAAUGCGAUAAGUAAUGUGAAUUGCAGAAUUCAGUGAAUCAUCGAAUCUUUGAACGCACAUUGCGCCCGCCAGUAUUCUGGCGGGCAUGCCUGUCUGAGCGUCAUUUCAACCCUCAUGCCCCUAGGGCGUGGUGUUGGGUAUCGGCCAAAGCCCGCGAGGGACGGCCGGCCCCUAAAUCUAGUGGCGGACCCGUCGUGGCCUCCUCUGCGAAGUAGUGAUAUUCCGCAUCGGAGAGCGAUGAGCCCCUGCCGUUAAACCCCCAACUUUCCAAGGUUGACCUCAGAUCAGGUAGGAAUACCCGCUGAACUUAAGCAUAUCAAUAAGCGGAGGA